rnacentral:rRNA from 1 species
CCGGCGACCGGCGCACGGGUGAGUAACACGUAUGGAACCUGCCCGCAGCAGGGGGAUAAGCGGAAGAAAUUCCGUCUAAUACCGCGUAACAACGUUGGGAGGCAUCUCCCGAUGUUUAAAGAUUUAUCGGCUGCGGAUGGCCAUGCGGCGCAUUAGGCAGUAGGCGGGGUAACGGCCCACCUAACCGACGAUGCGUAGGGGUUCUGAGAGGAAGGUCCCCCACACUGGUACUGAGACACGGACCAGACUCCUACGGAAGGCAGCAG